GACGACCGCUGGCGGCGUGCCUAAUACAUGCAAGUCGAGCGAGCGGAGGACGGGUGAGUAAUGUAUGGGGACUGCCCGAUAGAGGGGGAUAACUACUGGAAACGGUGGCUAAUACCACAUACUAUCGGAUAACCCAUAUGGGAUUAGCUAGUAGGGGGGGUACAGGCUCACCUAGGCGACGAUCUCUAGCUGGUAUGAUAGGAUGAUCAGCCCCUCUGGAACGGAGACACGGCCCAGACCCCUACGGAGGCAGCAGUGGGGAAUAUUGCACAAGUGGCGCAAGCCUGAUGCAGCCAUGCCGCGUGUAUGAAGAAGGCAUUAGGGUUGUAAAGUACUUUCAGCGGGGAGGCGUUACCCGCAGAAGAAGCACCGGCUAACUCCGUGCCAGCAGCCGCGGUAAUUC
rnacentral:rRNA from 1 species